UUCGCCCAAGGUCGUCUCCCACUUCCUGUUCUGAUCCACAGGAGGCACACUCACACUCAGUUUGGAAGAUUGUAAGGAAAUUGACUAAUCUGCGAAGCCCAAGUACGUCCUAAGUUAGGCUGGUUAGCAGUGGUAGUGUCCACUGGGCUGUACCCACGUGUCUGUAGGUACAGUGCUUCACUGUACCCCUGCGGAGCACUAGGCCUCCCCAUUCUUAGUCUGCUCCCCAGGUUCAUUUGGCCUGUUCAGUCUCACCUGCAUUCUGUGAAGCCAAACUUAAACUGCUCCAUAGAUUCUGCAGCAAGACUGCCCCCUCCCAGGCAAGAGGUACAGGGGAAAAAUGGGGGCCUGCUGCUCUGAUAUCACCUUGCAUCUCUUCACAGCUUGUAUGGUUUCUGCAGCUGCUGUAUUAUUAAGGUACAAUUGAUGCAGACAGGUGAGGGGGUUCUAGAGUUGGUCAAGGGGUCUCUCAUGCUGGGUGAAGUCUGUGUGGUGAGGGGGCUCUGGCUGUGGGUGACGGGCUCUGGUACUUAGGUCGGGGCUCUGGCUGUGGGUGACGGGCUCUGGUACUUAGGUCGGGUCUCUGGGUGACGGGCUCUGGUACUUAGGCUGGGGCUCUGGCUGUGGGUGAUGGGCUCUGGUACUUAGGUCGAGGCUCUGACUCUGGGUGACGGGCUCUGGUACUUAGGUCAAGGCUCUGACUCUGGGUGACGGGCUCUGGUACUUAGGUCAAGGCUCUGACUCUGGGUGACGGGCUCUGGUACUUAGGUCGAAGCUCUGACUCUGGGUGACAGGGCUAUUGAAUUAUAGUUGUGUUCAUUAGGCAAUUUUCGAGUUCCAGCGAAAAGAGACCAAGAUAAAAAAAAAAUAAUAAUGUAAUAAUAAUAGAAAUGUAUUCUGACGAGAGAUUACCUUUGGUCUUCCUUUGGUCGUCCAUGUCAAGCUUUCCUCUGAUCCUGGACCUUCUCAUGAUUGUGCGUAUCGAAACGCUGCCAGCUGAUUGCCAUGUCGCUCAUGCUCACAUUUUGGGUUUCUGAGCGAAUCCAGUGACCUCAUCGCAGAUCCGACUUACCUGCUGUUUCUCCAUCUCUGUCAGAAGCCCAGGACACUUUCUGAUUAGAAUCGGUGGAUAUGGUCAGGCCGUCGUACUCUCCCUCCCGUGUUUAUGGGGACCCCAAUUAGGCCCUGUCCUCAUAUGUGUUAAUUAGCUCCAUCAUUAAGCAACAGCUCCCCUCCAUUAGGUGCCAAGGAUGCUGGCAAUCUUCACCUGCCCCGCUGAGCACUCUGGCCUCUCUGCCUCUCUCUCUCACACACACACACACACACACACACACACACACACACACUCACACUGACACAGCUACUCAUACUCUAAAAUUACAAAGUCACUCAUGUCUGAAGUUAUUGGUUUUAUGAUUUUCUCUAAUUUCCCACAGCUAAUAAAUACAAAACGUAUGAGUUUAUUUAUAAAAGAAUAUGUUCAGCCUCAGGGGGCGGCAUGGUGGUGCAGUGGUUAGCACUGUCGCCUCACACCUCUGGGACCUGGGUUCGAGUCUCCGCCUGGGUCACAUGUGUGCGGAGUUUGCAUGUUCUCCCCGUGUCGUCGUGGGGUUUCCUCCGGGUACUCCGGUUUCCCCCCACAGUCCAAAAACAUGCUGAGGCUAAUUGGAGUUGCUGAAUUGCCCGUAGGUGUGCAUGUGUGAGUGAAUGGUGUGUGAGUGUGCCCUGCGAUGGGCUGGCCCCCCAUCCUGGGUUGUUCCCUGCCUCGUGCCCAUUGAUUCCGGGAUAGGCUCCGGACCCCCCGCGACCCAAUAGGAUAAGCGGUGUGGAAAAUGGAUGGAUGGAUGGAUGUUCAGCCUCAAGCAAAGGACACUAAGAAAUUAGUUAGGUAAGACUUUAGUUAGGAUCUGAGGAAGAACUUCUCCGUGUUUGUUGAGUAUGGAAUAGUCUGUCUGAAUUGGUAGUGCAAGCUAAAAUCCUAGAUUCCUUCAAA